rnacentral:rRNA from 1 species
CCUACGGGAGGCAGCAGUGAGGAAUAUUGGUCAAUGGACGAGAGUCUGAACCAGCCAAGUAGCGUGAAGGAUGACUGCCCUAUGGGUUGUAAACUUCUUUUAUAAAGGAAUAAAACGAGGCACGUGUGCCUUUUUGCAUGUACUUUAUGAAUAAGGAUCGGCUAACUCCGUGCCAGCAGCCGCGGUAAUACGGAGGAUCCGAGCGUUAUCCGGAUUUAUUGGGUUUAAAGGGAGCGUAGAUGGGUUGUUAAGUCAGUUGUGAAAGUUUGCGGCUCAACCGUAAAAUUGCAAUUGAUACUGGCAGUCGUGAGUACAGUUGAGGUAGGCGGAAUUCGUGGUGUAGCGGUGAAAUGCUUAGAUAUCACGAAGAACCCCGAUUGCGAAGGCAGCUUACUAAACUGUGACUGACAUUGAUGCUCGAAAGUGUGGGUAUCAAACAGGAUUAGAUUCCCCAGUAGUC